GUGGCGACACCGCGCGGAACCCGAAAGCCGUUCUCAGUUCGGAUCGGAGUCUGCAACCCGACUCCGUGAAGCUGGAUUCGCUAGUAAUCGCGCAUCAGCCAUGGCGCGGUGAAUACGUUCCCGGGCCUUGUACACACCGCCCGUCAAGCCAUGGGAGCCGGGGGUGCUUGAAGUGCGUCGCCGCAAGGCGCGCCCUAGAGCAAAACCGGUGACUGGGGCUAAGUCGUAACAAGGUAUC
rnacentral:rRNA from 1 species